UACGUAGGGUGCGAGCGUUAAUCGGAAUUACUGGGCGUAAAGCGUGCGCAGGCGGUUGUGUAAGACAGGUGUGAAAUCCCCGGGCUUAACCUGGGAACCGCACUUGUGACUGAACAGGUGGAGUACGGCAGAGGGGGAUGGAAUUCCGCGUGUAGCCGGGAAAUGCGUAGAUAUGCGGAGGAACACCGAUGGCGAAGGCAGUCCCCUGGGCCUGUACUGAUGCUCAUGCACGAAAGCGUGGGGAGCAAACAGG
rnacentral:rRNA from 1 species